rnacentral:lncRNA from 1 species
GGUUUAUUGAUCUUUAUGCCUCAGGAUCUUGCACAUUACAUCUUAAUUGUGGGCCUUGGUUAAUAGUAAGUAUUUUGGGUGGACUAGGCACCUCUUAUUGAAUGACUGUCGUUUCAGCUCCAUCAAGUUUCCUUUGAGUAUCCCUGGGGAUCUCACAGUUUUUCUUUGCAUGUUUGAAGACAGGCACUGUUUUCAUAAAGAUAACAGGGGUAGACUUAUGUUUUAUCACUGUGCCCUCUUGUGGUGUGCCUUAAUCAUGCCUUUGUCCCUAAAAAGAACCCAGGUUCAAACCAUGUGAAGUCAUUCCUCAGCAAAGAUUCUUGGAUUCCACCUCAGCCUCUGCUAAAUGAUUUCUCAGUCCUGGCACCCUAGAGCUGGUCAGUCUUGGAGUUUAUGCAAAGCCUCAUUCAGUGUUGACACCCUCCACACCUACCUCCUUACCCUUUGGAGAGAAGAUGGCCAGGAACAGGAGUAUGCUGAAUUUGUGUGCUUCAGUCUGUGUGACCAGACCCUAUGUUCAAAAGCAAACAUAAGACAGCAGGGAGUGAUAACUUGCUCCAUUUCUGGAUAACAGUGACCUUGUACCCUCAGAGGGAUAAGAUGUGUACUUCAUGAAAUGUUUGGACCAACAAAAUAUUAAUACUGGUUUUCCUGGGGCAACUGAGCAUUUGCUGUGAGUGUCAAGGAAUUACUUAUGGGCUGUGACUUCAGGAGAACUAAAUCCAAGGGCAGCCUACGCCUAAAAGAUGGCGCCGGUUUCCAGUACACUGUGGCCAUAAACAACCUUACUGCGCCUGCGCUAGUCAACACUUGGCCCCAACCCCUCCCUAUCGGGUGCAUGCUAAUGAAGUGUCGACAGGCCGACCAAUCCCAGGAGGACACAUAGCCCUCGCCAGUGCUGGGGUGUAUAUAGGCAGUCCUCCCUGGGUGCCCAGGGUCCUGGUAGCAGCAUCGAGGCAUUCCUGCAAUAAAGCUGUUGAGAAGA